rnacentral:lncRNA from 1 species
AUUGAGAGAUCUUUGUACAAGAGUUGAGUGGUGAGUUAUUCUUGUAUUUGUUUAAUUUUCUCUCUCAUAGUGAAGCUUGCACAUCCCGUGGAGGUAGGGUUGAGGCCAAUCCAUGUUAUCUUGAUUUGUUUAUGAUAUUUUUCUCUCUUUUUCUUCUUUCUUCCUUCCUCAACAAGUAGUAUUAGAGCACAACAAUUGGUAUCAGAGCUAGUUACCAUGGACAGUGGUGGUGUUGAUCG